rnacentral:rRNA from 1 species
AUGGCUGAAGAGGAGAAGGCGGCGACGGCGGAGGGGGACGCGACGGAGGACGUGAGCGACGUCGACGACUCGCCCCUCCCGGCGUUGAGGCGCCGCGCGGCGGCGAGCGACGACGAGGAGGGCGAUGGCGGCGGCGGUGGGGGGAGUGGUUCCUCGCCGCCGCCGAGGGUGGUCUGGUCCAAUUCCGACUCCGACGAGCUGGGCGCGGCCGAGGUGGACGGCGAAGACGAGGGUUCUGAGGAAUGCGAGGAGGUUCGCAAGGAGUUCGACGCAGGAUCUGGGGGCGGUGGAGAGGCCAAGGAAGUGACGCCGGAUGAGGUGGCUGCGGCGCCGGAGGACGAGGGGAAGUACGAGGAGGAGGAGGAGGAGGCCCAGGCUGAGACGGGAGCCGAACUGAAAGAAGAGGACAAGGAGAACAAGGGGUUCGAGCCCGACGCCGUGCCGAGAACAGGUGCCUUCUACAUGCACGAUGAUCGCUUCCAGAACAAGGAAAACCGCGGCCGCGGGCGCCAGAGGGACUUUUCCGGUGGCCAAAAGUUAUGGAAUUCUAAAGAUGACAGCGUAUGGCUGCAUGAUCGGUUUAAUGAGAUCAAUACCCAUGAUGUUCAACAUGACAGUACAAGGAGGCCAAGAAGUCCUUUUAGAGCUUGGGCUGGUGGUAGAACUCAUGAUGUUAAUCAUGAUCGGUUUGAUGAGAUCAAUACCCAUUAUGUUCAACAUGACAGUACAAGGAGGCCAAGAAGUCCUUUUAGAGCUCGGGCUGGUGGUAGAACUCAUGAUGUUAACCAUGAUCGGUUUGAUGAGAUCAAUACCCAUUAUGUUCAACAUGACAGUACAAGGAGGCCAAGAAGUCCUUUUAGAGCAUGGGCUGGUGGUAGAACUCAUGACGCUAACCAUGACCGGUUUGAUGAGAUCAAUACCCGUUAUGUUCAACAUGACAGUACAAGGAGGCCAAGAAGUCCUUUUAGAGCAUGGGCUGGUGGUAGAACUCAUGACGUUAACCAUGGUUAUCUAGAAGGAACCAAAUCCGCAUCAUAUUAUCAUGAUUACAGAGCAGACUACAAGUAUGGGAGUAUCAACAACUACAAUAGAUUUCCAAAAGAGGCCAAAACUUCCUAUUACAGCGCCAAGAACUACAGAAGUGUUCCAAGAAAAUCCCAUUCGUACUAUGACGAGCAGAACUUUUAUAAUGCUCGGACAGAAUCUCGUAUCUGUUAUGUGAAUGCUAAAGGUCACAACAAUGCACCAAAUGUUAACAGAGGGAAACCAUCAAGGCCCUACCAACCUACCUGGAAGAAUACUUUCCAAACCUCUUCAGUGCAAAACAAUAGGACAUAUUCCAGAUCACAGAAUGAGGAGGGCUGUUCUGAUACAGGUGUGGAAAAGAACUCACAUCGAACUUUAAGUUUGCAGAAUGAACAAGAGUUUACGUCAAAGCAAGAACCCCCCUUUGUAGAAAGAAGGAAAGCACGACCUGACAUUUUAAGUAAGCUCUUCUCAUCCUCUGUUCGAAUGGCACAUAGUUCUCUGAAACCUCAAUCUCGUUCCAGUUUUGGAGUGAAGGCAUUUGCUCCAUCUGGUGAGCAUGGAAAUACUGCUGGUUCUCUUAGUAUGGUAAAAGGCAUGCCUAACCUUGGUUCUCACUCAACUGUAUCAACAUCAAAUAGCCAAUAUUCAGAAUCCAGGGAUCAAGGAAGUGGUUUGAACAUUGGUGUCCCCACAAAGAACAAACUUUCUACUCAGAUAUUUCAUCAAAACAUUGCCAGUGCCAGCAAAAUUCAGUCUCAUCCACAAAAUACACUGAUAAGUUCAACUGAAGAUGCAGAGACCAGUCCCCCUCCUGGGUCAAACAAUUCUUUAGCACCAUCUGUUAUAAUAGUGCAAAAUGAUAAGGUAGAAGCAGUGAGUGGCUCUCUCCCUUGUGGUGGAGGUCAUGCUCUUGAUGUUACAGGAGCAAAGGACCUUACUCUUGGCACUCCAGCAGUAUUGCCAGUUAUGAAGUUUGGUGAGCAGCAUCCUAGGGGACCUGAUAUCCCAUGCACUGCUAUGGCUUUCCCAGGACUUUUGGCUCAUCAACCCAGUGACAAUUCUGAGCUUAAUAAAAUUACUUGGCUGCAAACAUUGUCUGGUGCUACUGGGGUUCUUGGGGCAACAUAUGAUCCUUCUUAUAUUGGCAGUCAUUAUCCCCAACCAUCAGUAUUCCCAAGAUACCAUUGUGUGACUGAAGUUCCUGUUUUGUUGAACUCCCCUGAAAUACCAGGUCAUGAGCUUGGCCAGCGCAAGAACAAACUUCUCAGAUACUCAGAGAUGAACUUCGCUUCAUGA